AUGCGUACUAACUUUUGGCGCCAUUAUCGAACGUUGGCCGUUGGGAUUUGCUUCGACGAGGGAUACGGAUAAAAUACAAGCGUAAAACCUCGUUUGUUGCAGUAUAUUCUUCACAAAUAAACAAUUUAUUAGGAAAAUACGUUCAAGAAACGUCUCGUGCUGUACUAGCCUAAUUCUGGCAAAUGUUAUUUACUUUCUUCACCUUCGUGUCGAAGACUGUUGUUUGCUGAUGGCCAAAUCACGACAGCGGACAUCAAUUAUUCAAAAUAUGUUCUUAUAGCUUCACGUUUACGAUACGAAUGUAAGAUUAUUUAUUUUUUGUAUAUGUAGGUUGUAGUUGAAAGUGACAGCGACAAUGAAAAAAGUGCAAACAACAUUGAAAUAUCCAGUUCACUACUAGCUCAAAUCCUGCGACAUAUCACUUGCUAGUAGCCCAGUCUAGUUUAACCUUUCCCAAUCAAGAAUCAUCUCCUGAAUCCAAGGCCCUACUCUGGGGCGGUAAAUCGCCUUAAAUCGCCUUAAAUCGCCCAAAAUCGCAUUAAAUCGCGGGUUAAAAUGGUCAAAUUUCUCUUAAAUCGCCUAAAAU